UACAGAGGGGGCCAGCGUUAUUCGGAAUUAUUGGGCGUAAAGGGCGCGUAGGCGGCUUUGCGUGUCUUUCGUGAAAUCCCUCGGCUCAACUGAGGACGUGCGGAAGAAACUGCAGGGCUGGAGUCCGGGAGAGGAGGGUGGAAUUCCCAGUGUAGCGGUGAAAUGCGUAGAUAUCUGGAGGAAUACCGGUGGCGAAGGCGGCAUCCUGGACCGAGAUUGACGCUGAACGGCGAAAGCUAGGGGAGCAAACGGG
rnacentral:rRNA from 1 species